rnacentral:rRNA from 1 species
AACGAACGCUGGCGGCAGGCUUAACACAUGCGAGUCGAACGCCCCGCAAGGGGAGUGGCGGACGGGUGAGUAACGCGUGGGAACAUACCCUUUCCUGCGGAAUAGCUCUGGGAAACUGGAAUUAAUACCGCAUACGCCCUACGGGGGAAAGAUUUAUCGGGGAAGGAUUGGCCCGCGUUGGAUUAGCUAGUUGGUGGGGUAAAGGCCUACCAAGGCGACGAUCCAUAGCUGGUCUGAGAGGAUGAUCAGCCACAUUGGGACUGAGACACGGCCCAAACUCCUACGGGAGGCAGCAGUGGGGAAUAUUGGACAAUGGGCGCAAGCCUGAUCCAGCCAUGCCGCGUGAGUGAUGAAGGCCUUAGGGUUGUAAAGCUCUUUCACCCAUGAAGAUAAUGACGGUAGUCGGAGAAGAAGCCCCGGCUAACUUCGUGCCAGCCGACGCCGUAAAAC